rnacentral:lncRNA from 1 species
GGUAUUUAAAACUUUUUCAUAUUAUUCUUGAAAGCUAAGAAAUCAAGUGAUGCUUUAAAAAUCUAAAAGAUCAAAUCCGUAAAAACGGACAAGUGUCUCUCUAUCCUUUGUUCCCCUUUAAGUAAGAUCUCCUUGUUUUGACAGUUCUUCAAUGUGGUCCUGCACUUUUUAUUCUCAUAUUUAUAAAAAAAAUAGUGAGCCACCACUUGCUCAUUAAGAAUAGUUUAAGGCUUCAAUCUAAAGAUAAGAGAUAAUAUACUGAUUUGAACCAUUAUCUUUACCUCUAGCUUACCACGCCC